ensembl:ncRNA F52B10.17 ncRNA
UGCCUGAGCAUGGGGGAACAGCAGAUUGGAGCUGACACAAAACGAGAUUAUAAUUAGACGUGAUGAGAUUGAAGCGUUAUGCUCUUGACGUGUUGUUGACGCUUCUCCGUUCCGUUUUCAUUUUCAUAAUUAUAAUGCGAG